rnacentral:tRNA from 1 species
GUCGGCGUGUUGGAACUGGUAGACAAGCUAGACUCAGAAUCUAGUGUGCAUUACGCACGUAAGGGUUCAACUCCCUUCGCCGGCACCA